rnacentral:rRNA from 1 species
GGUGCCAGCAGCCGCGGUAAUUCCAGCUCCAAUAGCGUAUAUUAAAGUUGUUGCAGUUAAAAAGCUCGUAGUUGGAUUUCUGUUGUAUAAUCUAUAAUAUUACUAAGGUAUAUAUUAUAUUAUCAACAUCCUUCCUAUUAUAUUUCUAAAUAUAUAGGAAACUUUACUUUGAGAAAAUUAGAGUGCUUAAAGCAGGCAACUGCCUUGAAUACUCCAGCAUGGAAUAAUAAGUAAGGACUUUUGUCUUUCUUAUUGGUUCUAGGACAAAAGUAAUGGUUAAUAGGGACAGUUGGGGGCAUUCGUAUUUAACAGCCAGAGGUGAAAUUCUUAGAUUUGUUAAAGACGAACUACUGCGAAAGCAUUUGCCAAGGAUGUUUUCAUUAAUCAAGAACGAAAGUUAGGGGAUCGAAGACGAUCAGAUACCGUCGUAGUCUUAACCAUAAACUAUGCCGACUAGAGAUUGGAGGUUGUUCCUUACUC